rnacentral:rRNA from 1 species
CUCCGUGCCAGCAGCCGCGGUAAUACGGGGGAUGCAAGCGUUAUCCGGAAUCAUUGGGCGUAAAGCGCCUGUAGGUUGUUUAAUAAGUCUGUUGUUAAAGACUAGGGCUCAACCCUAGAAAAGCAAUGGAAACUACUAGACUAGAGUAUGGCAGGGGUAGAGGGAAUUUCUAGUGUAGCGGUGAAAUGCGUAGAUAUUAGAAAGAACACCGGUGGCGAAAGCGCUCCACUGGACCAUUACUGACACUCAGAGGCGAAAGCUAGGGUAGCAAAAGGGAUUAGAUACCCCUGUAGUCCUAGCCGUAAACGAUGGAUACUACAUGUUGUGCAUUAUGUACAGUAUGGUAGCUAACGCGUUAAGUAUCCCGCCUGGGGAGUACGCUCGCAAGGGUGAAACUCAAAGGAAUUGACGGGGGCCCGCACAAGCGGUGGAGCAUGUGGUUUAAUUCGAUGCAACGCGAAGAACCUUACCAGGACUUGACAUACUACAAAUUCUUUUGAGAAAAAGAAGUGCCUUCGGGAAUGUAGAUACAGGUGGUGCAUGGCUGUCGUCAGCUCGUGUCGUGAGAUGUUGGGUUAAGUCCCGCAACGAGCGCAACCCUUAUUUUUAGUUACCAAUUCGUUGGGUUCUCUAGAAAGACUGCCGGUGACAAACCGGAGGAAGGUGAGGAUGACGUCAAGUCAGCAUGCCCCUUAUGUCCUGGGCUACACACGUGCUACAAUGGUUAAGACAAAGAGUCGCGAGCUCGUGAGAGUCAGCUAAUCUCAUAAACUUAGCCCAAGUUCAGAUUGUAG